rfam:Capsaspora owczarzaki ATCC 30864 unplaced genomic scaffold supercont2.3, whole genome shotgun sequence.
GCACUCGUGGUAGAGUGGUUAAUGUCAAUUCUUACGUUUGACUCGAAAUCAAAUCCGAGUUUCGGGCACAGGUUCGAGUCCUGUCGAGUGCG